rnacentral:rRNA from 1 species
CGCUAGCUACAGGCUUAACACAUGCAAGUCGAGGGGCAGCAUGGUCUUAGCUUGCUAAGGCCGAUGGCGACCGGCGCACGGGUGAGUAACGCGUAUCCAACCUGCCUUACACUCUUGGACAGCCUUCUGAAAGGGAGAUUAAUACAAGAUGUUAUCAUGAGUAAGCAUUUUCGCAUGAUUAAAGGUUUACCGGUGUAAGAUGGGGAUGCGUUCCAUUAGAUAGUAGGCGGGGUAACGGCCCACCUAGUCUUCGAUGGAUAGGGGUUCUGAGAGGAAGGUCCCCCACAUUGGAACUGAGACACGGUCCAAACUCCUACGGGAGGCAGCAGUGAGGAAUAUUGGUCAAUGGACGAGAGUCUGAACCAGCCAAGUAGCGUGAAGGAUGAAGGUUCUAUGGAUUGUAAACUUCUUUUAUACGGGAAUAAACGAAUCCACGUGUGGAUUUUUGCAUGUACCGUAUGAAUAAGGAUCGGCUAACUCCGUGCCAGCAGCCGCGGUAAUACGGAGGAUCCGAGCGUUAUCCGGAUUUAUUGGGUUUAAAGGGAGCGUAGAUGGGUUGUUAAGUCAGUUGUGAAAGUUUGCGGCUCAACCGUAAAAUUGCAAUUGAUACUGGCAGUCUUGAGUACAGUUGAGGUAGGCGGAAUUCGUGGUGUAGCGGUGAAAUGCUUAGAUAUCACGAAGAACUCCGAUUGCGAAGGCAGCUUACUAACCUGUAACUGACAUUGAUGCUCGAAAGUGUGGGUAUCAAACAGGAUUAGAUACCCUGGUAGUCCACACGGUAAACGAUGAAUACUCGCUGUAGGCGAUAUACAGUCUGCGGCCAAGCGAAAGCAUUAAGUAUUCCACCUGGGGAGUACGCCGGCAACGGUGAAACUCAAAGGAAUUGACGGGGGCCCGCACAAGCGGAGGAACAUGUGGUUUAAUUCGAUGAUACGCGAGGAACCUUACCCGGGCUUAAAUUGCAACCGAAUAUGGCGGAAACGCUAUAGCUAGCAAUAGCGGUUGUGAAGGUGCUGCAUGGUUGUCGUCAGCUCGUGCCGUGAGGUGUCGGCUUAAGUGCCAUAACGAGCGCAACCCUUGCCGAUAGUUACUAACAGGUCAUGCUGAGGACUCUGUCGGGACUGCCAUCGUAAGAUGUGAGGAAGGUGGGGAUGACGUCAAAUCAGCACGGCCCUUACGUCCGGGGCUACACACGUGUUACAAUGGGGGGUACAGAGGGCUGCUACCACGCAAGUGGAUGCCAAUCCCAAAAACCUCUCUCAGUUCGGAUUGAAGUCUGCAACCCGACUUCAUGAAGCUGGAUUCGCUAGUAAUCGCGCAUCAGCCACGGCGCGGUGAAUACGUUCCCGGGCCUUGUACACACCGCCCGUCAAGCCAUGGGAGCCGGGGGUACCUGAAGUGCGUAACCGCAAGGAGCGCCCUAGGGUAAAACUGGUGACUGGGGCUAAG